rnacentral:rRNA from 1 species
UUGAACGCUGGCGGCGUGCCUAACACACGCAAGUCGAACGAGAACCCCGGGCUUGCCCGGGGGGAGAGUGGCGAACGGGUGAGUAACACGUGAGGAACCUGCCCCGAAGACCGGGAUAACGCCGGGAAACUGGUGCUAAUACCGGAUGCCCUCGCCGAACCGCAUGAUUCGGCGAGGAAAUGGAUUCCGCUUCGGGAUGGCCUCGCGUCCUAUCAGCUUGUUGGUGGGGUAACGGCCCACCAAGGCAGCGACGGGUAGCUGGUCUGAGAGGAUGUCCAGCCACACUGGGACUGAGACACGGCCCAGACUCCUACGGGUGGCAGCAACCAGGAAUCUUGCGCAAUGGGCGAAAGCCUGACGCAGCGACACCGCGUGUGGGAUGACGCUCUUCGGAGUGUAAACCACUGUGGCAAGGGAAUAAUCAAUGAAGGUACCUUGCUAGAAAGCACCUGCUAACCACGUGCCAGAAGCCUCGGUAAUACGUGGGGUGCAAGCGUUAUCCGGAUUUACUGGGCGUAAAGCGUCCGUCGGCGACUUGGAAAGUUUUCUGUCCAAGCCUAGGGCUCAACUCUAGACAGGCAGAAAAAACUUCCCAAGAUUGAGUCUGUUUGGGGAAGUUGGAAUUCUCGGUGGAGGGGUGAAAUCCGUAGAUAUCGAGAGGAACGCCAGUCGCGAAAGGCUGACUUCUAAAACAGUACUGACGCUCAGGGACGAAAGCUAGGGUAGCAAAAGGGAUUAGAGACCCCUGUAGUCCUAGCCGUAAACGUUGGAUGCUAAUUGGUCCACUUUUAGUGGGCUGGUGUAAGCUAACGCGUUAAGCAUCCCGCCUGGGGAGUACGACCGCAAGGUUAAAACUCAAAGGAAUUGACGGGGGAGCGCACAACCGGUGGAGCAUGUGGUUUAAUUCGAUACAAAGCGAAAAACCUUACCUAGACUUGACAUAUACCUGCACGCCUUUGGAAACAAGGGUUUCUUCGAGAGUGGUAUACAGGUGAUGCAUGGUUGUCGUCAGCUCGUGUCGUGAGACGUCCGCUUAAGUGCGGUAACGAGCGCAACCCCUGCCGUCAGUUACAAGUGUCUGACGGAACUGCCCUCGCACAUCGGGGGAGGAAGGAGGGGACGACGUCAAAUCAGCAUGUCCCUUACGUCUAGGGCUACACACAUCCUACAAUGGAACCGACAAUGGGUCGCGAAGGGGUAACCCGGAGCCAAUCCCGAAACGGUUCCUCAGUUCAGAUUGAAGGCUGCAACCCGCCUUCAUGAAGUCGGAAUCGGUAGUAAUCGCAAAUCAUCAGGUUGCGGUGAAUACGUUCUCGCUCCUUGCACACACCGC